rnacentral:tmRNA from 1 species
GGGGAUGUAAAGGUUUCGACAGGGGUGUGUGUGGUAUAGAUAGCGAGUCGGCGUUCCAUGAGGCCGUUAAACGGUGGGAAAACAUUUAAACGCAGAAGAAAAUUUUGCAUUAGCUGCAUAAGCUACGUCCCUCAUACUUGUGCCUACCAAGUGUGAAUGGACGUCAAACCGUAGGCU